CCGCCACAAAUACAGAGAAUCCACUGUUCGCACGGACAAAGUCUCCCCUGUAUUUUCACGGCGUCGUACAAGUACAAGAUACAACCACAUACAUAUGAAUAUCCACAUACAUAUACCACAUCACAUUCACAUACAUUAAUUCACGGAUAUUCACAUAUCUACAUCUAUUAGUUUAAAAUAUUUUCUACCCGGAAAUCAUUUUGAAAUGCUAAGUCAUGAAAACCAAGAAAACCUUUUUAAAACCGUUUUCUACACGGAAACCUUUUUCUUUUUAAAACAUGCUACCACGAGGGUAGAAAGCCAUUUUUAACUCAUAAAACUCCGUAAACUUUAUUACAUUCAUAAAAGCAUAUGAAUCCAAUUAAAGUAAACCACUGAAUCAUAACGUCUAUGUCAUUUAUUUAAG
rnacentral:lncRNA from 1 species